CAGCCGCCGCGGGAAUACGUAGGUGGCAAGCGUUAUCCGGAAUUAUUGGGCGUAAAGGGCUCGCAGGCGGUUUCUUAAGUCUGAUGUGAAAGCCCCCGGCUCAACCGGGGAGGGUCAUUGGAAACUGGGAAACUUGAAUGCAGAAGAGGAGAGUGGAAUUCCACGUGUAGCGGUGAAAUGCGUAGAGAUGUGGAGGAACACCGGUGGCGAAGGCGACUCUCUGGUCUGUAACUGACGCUGAGGAGCGAAAGCGUGGGGAGCGAACAGGAUUAGAUACCCCUGUAGUCCCUGUCUCUUAUAA
rnacentral:rRNA from 1 species